GAAACCCUUGACUCCCCAAUUAUCUAUUUACCUAUCUCCUUUUUUAUUUUUUAUCCG
rnacentral:tRNA from 1 species